GAUUUGUAAUUAAAAAUUUAAUAAGUUUUAAAAUAAAUUUAAAGGACGCGGUAACCUUGACCGUGAUAAUGUAGCGUAAUCACUCGCCAUUUAAUUGAUGGAUAGUAUGAAUGGUUGAACGAAUAUUCCACUGUCUUAAAAAAAAUUAAACGAAAUUGAAGUAAUAGUAAAGAUGCUAUUAUAAACUGUAAGACGAAAAGACCCUAUAGAGCUUAACUAUAAUCUCUUUAUUCUAAAAAUAAAAUAACUUAUAUAAUUAAAGAGUUUGGUAGUUUAGUUGGGGCGACUGUCUUCUAAAAUUAACGAAGACAAGCAAUAUUAAUAAUUAAUUUAUUGUAUAAUUUAAUAAUUUAACAAUUACUAAAGUAGGCUAUAAUGACCCGUUUUUACUUUAAAAUAAGAAAAACGAUCAAUUAAUAAAAGCUACCUUAGGGAUAACAGGAUAAUUUCAUUUUAGAGUUCAAAUCGAAAAUGAAGUUUGUCACCUCUAUGUUGAAUUAA
rnacentral:rRNA from 1 species